AUCAAUUGCUUUGUUGGUUCUCAAUCUUUAUUUCUUUCUUAUUUGGAAGGAUCUUCUAUGUGUUAGAAACUGUGUGUUAAAUUGAUAUUUUCUCCUCUUUUUUGGUGGAUAAGAUUCACUUUUUGUCACUGUCAGGGCAUCUGAUGUUGUGUGUUUUUUAUUUUUUGGUUCAGUUUUAGUAAUUUAUUUGUUUUUCCCCGUUUUGUUGUCUUUUUCUUUUUUGUAUUGGGAUGUGAUUUGUAUGAUAUGGAAACAAUUCUCUUGUAAAAGUAUUUGUGCUUCAUAGGUUAUACUGGAGGAGCUUAAUGCCAUGUUUCUUCUUUGUUGUGUUAACUCUUACAUAAUAAGCUUCUAAUUUUAUUGUCUGAUUAUUGAUUUAUAGGAAAGUCAUUCUUUUUAAGAUUACAGGCUACCAUGCAACCUCGGGAUUGAGCCCAAAAGAUGAGAAUAAGCAAUCCUGUUUUGAGGUUGAAGGCCUCGAUGGAACCACCAGGGCUGACUGAGGGGCUCACAAAUAGCAAACAAGAGAGCAUAAUAGGAACUCAAAAUGGGUCUGAUCUGUUCAAUGAAAUGAAACAUCAGUUUCUGAGUUUCAAAAGGCAGAAAUUCCUGUAAGCAAGCUUAUAAUUCUGACAUCUUGUUGUUUUGCUUCACAGAAAAUUGAGUUUCCCUGAUGUGAUGUUUUCUUUGAACAGGGAAAACUUGGAAUGCUAUGAAAAUCUUGCCAAGAGUCAAGCACCGAAGUUCAUGGUCAUUGCUUGUGCAGACUCUAGGGUUUGUCUCUCCUACAUCCUAGGAUUUCAACCCAGAGAAGCCUUUGUAGUUCGCAAUGUGGCAAAUCUGGUGCCCCCAUUUGAGGUACCAUAUACAUUGCAUUUGUGUUUU